AACGAACGCUGGCGGCAGGCUUAACACAUGCAAGUCGAACGCCCCGCAAGGGGAGUGGCAGACGGGUGAGUAACACGUGGGAACGUGCCCUAAGGUUUGGAAUAUUCCCGGGAAACUGGGAGCAAUACCAAAUGUGUCCGUAAGGAGAAAGAUUUAUAGCCUUAGGAUCGGCCCGCGUCAGAUUAGGUAGUUGGUGGGGGAAUGGCCUACCAAGCCGACGAUCUGUAGCUGGUCUGAGAGGGCGACCAGCCACACUGGGACUGAGACACGGCCCAGCCUCCUACGGGAGGCAGCAGUGGGGAAUCUUGGACAAUGGGCGCAAGCCUGAUCCAGCCAUGCCGCGUGGAUGAUGAAGGCCCUAGGGUUGUAAAAUCCUUUCGUUGGGGACGAUAAUGACGGUACCCAAAGAAGAAGCUCCGGCUAACUUCGUGCCAGCCGCCGCGGUAA
rnacentral:rRNA from 1 species